AAUUCAUUUUCAGUCUGAAGAUCUCUAACUUGAAAGCACAAGGGAGCUGUCCCAAAGCUUUUAAUGAGAGCAUCAUUGCAGCUGCAGAGGGAUACUGGCCGGUGACCCUCAGUGACAGGAAGACUAUCUUAGUGAGGGCUCGUGAUGGCAUCUGGGUGACUGCCAAGAGAGUUUGGGUAGCCAAGAGGAACGCACUCUAGGAGGGAAGUAUGAUCUCUUAGGAGCAAAAGAUGGAGCCUGUUCAGUUCAGUGAGGCAGGCUGUAGACAUCUGUCUAUACAUUGUUCCAUCUCCAUUACCCCACCAGGCCUGGUCCAGGUCCGUGGUAUGAACACAGUGAACUCCAGUAUAGCAACAGCCUUUACUGGCCUCAUGCAGUGCUCUCAGGAACAGUGUGUGCUGUCUGGCUGCCUCCUCUGGGGACCCACCAGGCACCAAUGAGAACAGCCUGGUUUGGAGAUCCUUCCAGAAAGUUCUGUUAGCCUUGUGAUGGGCAGCAAGGACAGCACUUUAGUUUUUUUAUGAAAUGAUAGGACACCGAGUGGAGGCAAGAAGAAGGAUCAAAGAUUUGGGGUAGGAAUUUCAGCUGCAAACAUUCCCGAUCCUGUUUGCAGGAACUGCAGCCUCCAGGAGAUUCAGCCUGCUCUCCAAGCCAUCCCUGUCCCUGCCGGACUCCAACAGCAGCUGUGAUCUGGAGUUUGUCCAUUAGACCAGACCAAGUGGCCAGUGAACCGCAGGGACCCGCCUGUCUCUGCUGCCUCAGUGCUGGGAUUGCAGGAGCAUGCACCACGCCCAUCUUUUCAUGGGGGUUCUGGGAACAAGCUCUGUUUCUCAAGAU
rnacentral:lncRNA from 1 species